GAUCCUGGCUCAGGAUGAACGCUGGCGGCGUGCCUGACACAUGCAAGUCGAGCGAAGCACUUUGCUUAGAUUCUUCGGAUGAAGAGGAUUGUGACUGAGCGGCGGACGGGUGAGUAACGCGUGGGUAACCUGCCUCAUACAGGGGGAUAACAGUUAGAAAUGACUGCUAAUACCGCAUAAGACUACAGCACCGCAUGGUGCGGGGGUAAAAACUCCGGUGGU
rnacentral:rRNA from 1 species